UUACACCGGUUCCCGUACGAUCUCGGAAGUUAAGCAACGUCGAGCCUGGUCAUUACCGAGAUGGAUGAUCGAUUGAGAGUACCAAGUGCUGUAAG